rnacentral:rRNA from 1 species
GACAGAGGGGGCAAGCGUUGCUCGGAAUUACUGGGCGUAAAGGGCGCGUAGGCGGAAUGGCAAGUCGGUCGUGAAAUCCUUCGGCUCAACCGAAGAACGUCGAUCGAAACUGCCGUUCUUGAGGAUUGCAGAGGAGACUGGAAUUCCCGGUGUAGCGGUGAAAUGUGUAGAGAUCGGGAGGAACACCGGUGGCGAAGGCGGGUCUCUGGGCAAUUCCUGACGCCGAGAAGCGAAAGCAUGGGGAGCGAACAGG